rnacentral:piRNA from 1 species
UUUAUUCUAUAAAAUUUAUGG